rnacentral:rRNA from 1 species
UACGAAGGGGGCUAGCGUUGUUCGGAUUUACUGGGCGUAAAGCGCACGUAGGCGGGUCGUUAAGUCAGGGGUGAAAUCCCGGAGCUCAACUCCGGAACUGCCUUUGAUACUGGCGACCUUGAGGCUGGAAGAGGUUAGUGGAAUUCCCAGUGUAGAGGUGAAAUUCGUAGAUAUUGGGAAGAACACCAGUGGCGAAGGCGGCUAAACUGGUCCAGAUCGUGACGCUGAGGUGCGAAAAGCGUGGGGGAGCAAAGCAGGG